GGCCGGGCAGCAAUGCCCGGUCAGUGGCGGACGGGUGAGUAACGUAUCGCUAACGUGCCCUGGAGCCGGGGAUAGCCAUCCGAAAGGGUGGGUAAUACCCGAUGACCUGUCGGCGAGGCAUCUCGCUGACCGCAAAGCCGCAAGGCACUCCGGGAGCGGGCGAUAUCGUAUCAGCUAGUUGGUGAGGGUAACGGCCCACCAAGGCGACGACGCGUAGCUGGUCUGAGAGGACGGCCAGCCACAUUGGGACUGAGACACUGCCCAGACUCCUACGGGGGGCUGCAGUAACGAAUCUUCCGCAAUGCACGCAAGUGUGACGGAGCGACGCCGCGUGCGGGACGAAGCCCUUCGGGGUGUAAACCGCUGUCAGGGGCUACCAAGUUCUGAGGGGCCCCAGAGGAAGGCACGGCUAACUCUGUGCCAGCAGCCGCGGUAAGACAGAGGUGCCGAGCGUUAGGCGGAAUCACUGGGCUUAAAGCGUGUGUAGGCGGACGAUUAAGUGCCUUGUGAAAUCCCACGGCUCAACCGUGGAACGGCUGGGCAUACUGGUCGUCUUGGGCCACUUAGGGGCUGUCGGAACAGGCGGUGGAGCGGUGAAAUGCGUAGAUAUCGCCUGGAACGCCAACGGCGAAAGCAGACAGCUGGGAGUGUGCCGACGCUGAGACACGAAAGCCAGGGGAGCGAACGGGAUUAGAUACCCCGGUAGUCCUGGCCCUAAACGAUGUCGACUAGGUCGCGGAACCUCUGACGGUCUUCGCGGCCGCAGCAAAAGUGCUAAGUCGACCGCCUGGGAAGUA
rnacentral:rRNA from 1 species